rnacentral:rRNA from 1 species
UACGUAGGGUGCGAGCGUUAAUCGGAAUACUGGGCGUAAAGCGUGCGCAGGCGGUGAUGUAAGACCGAUGUGAAAUCCCCCGGGCUUAACCUGGGAACUGCAUUGGUGACUGCAUCGCUCGAGUAUGGCAGAGGGAGGUGGAAUUCCACGUGUAGCGGUGAAAUGCGUAGAGAUGUGGAGGAACACCGAUGGCGAAGGCAGCCUCCUGGGCCAAUACUGACGCUCAUGCACGAAAGCGUGGGGAGCAAACAGG